AUUGAACGCUGGCGGCAUGCCUUACACAUGCAAGUCGAACGGCAGCACGGGAGCAAUCCUGGUGGCGAGUGGCGAACGGGUGAGUAAUAUAUCGGAACGUGCCCAGUCGUGGGGGAUAACGCAGCGAAAGCUGUGCUAAUACCGCAUACGAUCUACGGAUGAAAGCGGGGGAUCGCAAGACCUCGCGCGAUUGGAGCGGCCGAUAUCAGAUUAGCUAGGUGGUGGGGUAAAAGCCCACCAAGGCGACGAUCUGUAGCUGGUCUGAGAGGACGACCAGACACACUGGAACUGAGACACGGUCCAGACUACCACGGGAGGCAGCAGUGGGGAAUUUUGGACAAUGGGCGCAAGCCUGAUCCAGCAAUGCCGCGUGCAGGAUGAAGGCCUUCGGGUUGUAAACUGCUUUUGUACGGAACGAAACGGCUCUUUCUAAUAAAGAGGGCUAAUGACGGUACCGUAAGAAUAAGCACCGGCUAACUACGUGCCAGCCGCCGCAGUAA
rnacentral:rRNA from 1 species